GAACGCUGGCGGAAUGCUUUACACAUGCAAGUCGAACGGUAACAGGUUAAGCUGACGAGUGGCGAACGGGUGAGUAAUGCAUCGGAACGUGCCCAGUCGUGGGGGAUAACGCAGCGAAAGCUGUGCUAAUACCGCAUACGAUCUAUGGAUGAAAGCGGGGGACCGUAAGGCCUCGCGCGAUUGGAGCGGCCGAUGUCAGAUUAGCUAGUUGGUGGGGUAAAGGCCCACCAAGGCGACGAUCUGUAGCUGGUCUGAGAGGACGACCAGCCACACUGGAACUGAGACACGGUCCAGACUCCUACGGGAGGCAGCAGUGGGGAAUUUUGGACAAUGGGCGCAAGCCUGAUCCAGCCAUGCCGCGUGUGUGAAGAAGGCCUUCGGGUUGUAAAGCACUUUCAGCGAGGAGGAAGGGGUGGUCGUGAAUAGCGGCUACCUUUGACGUUACUCGCAGAAGAAGCACCGGCUAACUCUGUG
rnacentral:rRNA from 1 species